GGGGAGGUUGAACAUCCUGCAUAGUGCUGCCAGGAAAUCCCUGUCAUAUGAAGAGGGGGCUGUCUGGUUGCAUAUGUAGGCUGUUUCAUCUCCUGGCCCACUUCGUCA
rnacentral:pre_miRNA from 1 species